GACGAACGCUGGCGGCGUGCUUAACACAUGCAAGUCGAACGGAAAGGCCCUGCUUUUGUGGGGUGCUCGGGUGGCGAACGGGUGAGUAACACGUGAGUAACCUGCCCUUGACUUUGGGAUAACUUCAGGAAACUGGGGCUAAUACCGGAUAGGAGCUCCUGCUGCAUGGUGGGGGUUGGAAAGUUUCGGCGGUUGGGGAUGGACUCGCGGCUUAUCAGCUUGUUGGUGGGGUAGUGGCUUACCAAGGCAUUGACGGGUAGCCGGCCUGGGAGGGUGACCGGCCACAUUGGGACUGAGAUACGGCCCAGACUCCUACGGGAGGCAGCAGUGGGGAAUAUGGCACAAUGGGCGGAAGCCUGAUGCAGCAACGCCGCGUGCGGGAUGACGGCCUUCGGGUUGUAAACCGCUUUCGCCUGUGACGAAGCGUGAGUGACGGUAAUGGGUAAAGAAGCACCGGCUAACUACGUG
rnacentral:rRNA from 1 species